AGGUUGACGGUUGGAGUCAUCACUGGAAUUGUCUUUGAUAGACAAAAUCCUCGAGAUUGUUGAAUAAUUUGCUAUGAAGACCUGUAAAAUAAGAUUGGGUUAAAUAAUCUGAGACGCGCUGACCGCGUUGUCCUCAAGGAUUUUCCACGUAAUACGCUAACCCUUUAGGAUUUAUCCGAUUCUUCUCAGUAAAUCGAGGAUACAAAACUCGCAAGAAAAAUUAUUUGAGCUAUUAGAAAUUAAUCCAGAAUUAAGAAAAAUCAAAUUAAAAAACGAUUUUUUAAAUAGUGUUUUUUCUUGUAUUAUGUGCAAAGCCUCACUUGUCUACUUCUUUUUUUGUCCUUUCUAUGUAUUAUAUAUUCUAGUAGAGAAGAAUAGAAUAAUAAUCAAUAAAAAUCAAUAAAUGAUUUCAUUACUUUUAGAAUAUCACAUUUUAUCGCCAUUAUUCUGAAUAAAGAUUUUAACGUCAAUGUAAUAACAGAAUGCAAGUAAUAAUAUUUUGUUACUUAAUUUGAAAUUGAAAAAUAUUAUAGAUAUUGAAUGACGUUUUAAUUUUAUUUACAUUUUUUAUUUUUAAUAUUAUACACACAUGUUAAUUUAUCGUUUUUAUUAAAUACAUCACUAUCAAACUUGUACUCAUUUUAAAAUAAAUGUUUGUUUAUUUAUUAUCUCAACAAUAAUAUCUUUGAAUUUUUUUUAAUGUUUUUAAAAACUUCAAAUGACAUGAUAAAUUAUUUUUUAUUAGAAAUGUGAGUAAACAGGUAUGGAUAUGAGUACUUAGGUACGCAUAGGGUACGAGGACAAAUAUAAAUAUUGGUGCCCAUGCGAAUAUAGACUCGGGUAAGGAGAAUUUUUUAAACUGCAGGUACGGGAACAUGUACUAUGCUCAAACCAUGCUCAUCCCACAAAUCCUAGACCAACCAAAAGAAGACAUGGAACCGCGGAAGCUAUGAGUGAAGGUGCUUAGUGGAAAUCGAAACCCUGGGAAUGGGAUAGCGAUUGAGUUCGCAACUCCUAAGAUUGCCAAUGGUGAGAUUGAAAUCGAGAUAGAAGAAGCUGACAUAGAGACUAAGGUAAAGUUUUGGGACUCUGCACUAAUAAUGUAUGUCAUAGGUGGUGAAGUGGGAAUGAAUGUUGUUAAGCAGUUUAUGAUGACGAAGUGGAACUUUGUAAAGCUUCCUGACAUGUACUAUAAGGAUGAACGUUACUUAAUUUUGAGGUUUCACUCCCAUCUUGAUAGGGUUGCAGUGAUGUUGAGGGGCCCGUAUACUAUCAUCAAUAUGCCUAUGUUGUUGAGGGAAUGGAAAACAAAUUUCAACCUCAAGAAUGAUAUGUUGUGAAACCUCCCAAUCUAGGUGAAAUUUCCUCAAAUCCCUCUCCAUUUUAGUGGAGGUAGACUUCACCCAAAAACUAACAAAUGAAAUCACCAUCAAAUAUGCAUAAGGGCGCAAAAUGAAACAACUGGUUGAAUACAAAUAGAAACCCCCUAGUGUGAGAAAUGUCAGAAAGUUGGACACAAUUGUGGAGCUCAAAAGCAGAAACCAACAACAAGAUAAUGGGUCCCAAAAAAUUCUCAACAAACAGUGGUGAAGGAGACUCCUAAGGAAACUAUAGAAAUAGCUACCACUAGUACAACUCAGAUCAUUGGGACUCCUACAAGCAUUGAGAUGGAACAGGUGGAGUGGACCAAGGUUGGCAAAAGUCGAAGAGACAUGGGAAAGAAAGCUAUGUCACCUCAACAAACAGAUUUGAAGCACUAGGAUUGAGAAAAGACUUAGGGUCUGUUUGAAUUACUUCUCAAAAACUGUUUUUUAAUUUUUAAAAAAUAAAAACUAAAAAACUUGUUUGAUAAACUAUUUUUAAAAUAGUAGUUUUAAAAAUUAGAUUUGUUUUUUAGUUUUAAAAACUGAAAGAGUAAAAUUGAUAAAUAUAGUUUCAGUUUUUAAUAUGUAGUUUCAGUUUUCAUUUUCAAUUUUUUUUAAAAAAAAUCCCAAAAAUAAAAAUUUAUGGAAAAAUAUAAAUUUUUAUUAAUGGUAUUUUGAUGAUUUAUUUAUUUAUUUAUAUAUAAUUUCAAAAGGAUAUCAAUAUUGUACGAAGAAUUUUGAGAAGAAAAAAAAUCCAUAAUAAUAAUAAUUAUGAUUUGUAUAAAUGUUUAGCAUAAAGCCAUUACUAAAUCCUAAAUACUAAUGGCGGAUCAUUUUAAUUUUAUUCAUGCAUUCAAGUUCUGUUUUUUUUCUUUAAAUAACUUAAUUCUUUCGAUUUUUUAUAUUUUCAUUAAUGUAAUUAUAUAUAUAUAUAUAAAAAUAUUUUACAUAUACAUCCAACUAAAUUACAUCAAAUAAAUAUACUAAAAAUUAAUCUAAUAAUGUAUCACUAGCAUGUAUUUUGAUUCGAUUAAAAAGUUUUACAUAGUAAGUACAUACAAAUUUACUUAAGAUUAUUUAAAAAAAAGUAUGGCUCAAAAACCUAACUAUAGGAAGGCAUGAAGACAAUAGGCGCCUAGGGGUGGCAAAACAGGCCCGGUCCGCCGGGCAUGCCCGUUUUUCCCGCACCUUAGUGCAGGGCGGGCCAAGGAUUUAGGCCCCCAACAUCUAAUGUGUCCGCCCCGCCCCACCCCGUUCUUUUCCGCAGGCUUUUGUGGGCACGUGCGUUUACAUAAUUUUUUGCAUUUUUAGGCUUAAAGAGUGCAGUGUCCGCGGGCUUUCCCCUUCCCGCCCUCACUUUUUUGUAGGACGGGCCUAAGUUUUAGGCCCACAUCCUCAAUUAUGACCGUCCCGCCCCACCCCGUUUUUUUGCGGGCUUUUGCGGGGCAGACCUAUAUGGGGCGGGCAUGUCCGUUUGCCACCCCUAUAGGCGCCACGUGGACGACAGUAAAGAAGGGCAUCGAGGACCCGAUCCAGAUUUUCAAAUUAUACUCAGUUGAACAUGUUUAGAGGAAAAAUUCUACAAGAGUGUGCUAAGGCCUAGGUAAAGAACGCCAGAGAUAAGAUAUCCCAAUAACGUAAAGUAGUUAGCACAAAUCGAUAGAUCAAAAUUUAAUUAUUAAUUAUAAUAAAAAUAUUUUAAAUAUAUAUUUGUUAAUAAAAGUGUUCUUAAAAAUUAGACUACCAAAUAGAUUUUUUAUUUUCUCAUCUCUAGAACUGUUUUUGAAAAUUAACUUAUCAAAUGAAUUUUUUAUUUUCUCAUUUCUACAAUAGUUUUGAAAAGUUAAAUUAUCAAACAAAUUUUUUAUUUAUUCUCUUCUUAAAAAGAAUUUUCUAAAACAAUUUUAUAAAAUAAUUUUUAAAAAGUAAAAAGCAAAACUCAUUCAAACGAGCUCUUAUUGUUUCAUGAAGAUGUCUCGUGAUUAUUGCUUGGAAUGUGAGGGGGCUCAAUAAAUCAGGUAAUAUUAGGGAGACUAGAGUGAAAAGUAAUAAGGCUGAGGCUAUUAGAGGCAAAUUGAACAUGAGAGGUAAUUACUUGGAUUACUAUAACAAGGAUGACAACGGUAGGAUUUGGGUGUUUUGGAAAGACAACAACGUUAUCAUCAAGAUGAUCAAGAGCACUGACCAAAUGAUACACUGUGGGAUCUUUGAGUUAAAUUAGGACUUAAGCUAUUAGAUGAUUGCUAUAUAUGCCUUGAAUCAAUUAGAUCAGAUAAAGAAUCUUUGGAAAGACAUUGAAGAUAUUAACUGCAAACAAAAGGGUUCAUGGUUCUUAUUGGGAGACUUCAACAAUGAUUUGAUAUCUCAAGACAUGAUUGGGGGGAAUAUGGCAACUGAAAAAGGAGUACAUUGACCUGAUAAGAAUGAUGGAACAAAUUGGAUUAUAUGAAAUGGGCAGCAGUGGGGACUAUUUGGUCUAACAAACAAAGUGAGAAUUUUAUCUAUUUCAGAAUUGACAGAGUGCUAGGUAAUUUGGAAUGGCUUCAGGAUCAUAGUGACUAUGAUGUCACUGUUAUCCACCCUAGUGUGUCUGAUCAUGCCAUGCUUUGCUUGAAAAGGUAUGAUAUUCUUUGGAAAAUAAUAGGAAAAUAAAUAGUUUCAAGUUUAUUAUCAAUGUUGCUGAUUUUGAGGGCUUUUUUAGUGUUGUUGAGAGAAGUAGGAAUGCCCCCUAUUAAUGGUAUGCCAAUGUAUAUUCUUUGGAAAAAACUGCAAAGAUUACAACCUGUUCUUAAUGCUAUGAGUAAGCUUAUUACUGAUGUGAAGCUGAAUAUUAUGAAAGCUAGGGAAAACUUGCAAACAACCUAGUUGAAUCUUUGCAAUGACAAAAUGAAUAUGACCAAGAUUGAUCUGGUAAAGAAACAUACUGAGGAGCUUAUUAACUUGAAGGAGAUGGAGGAAAAUGUGCUUAAACAAAGGCUAAAUUGGAUUGGCUAAAACUAGGGGAUGGAAAUAAUAAGUAUUUCCAUGCCUCCAUUAAAGCUAGACACAAGAAGAAAAGUAUGAAUACUCUACAAAAGAAUGAUGUUACUCUUCUAACUACUCAAAAUGAUAUUCAAAGGGAGGUGUUGGAUUUCUAUACUAAUCUGAUGGAUACAACUGACAUUUUAUUGGAUGGCAUUGACAUUAAUGCCAUGAGAAAUGCCCCCCAAUUGAAUAAUGAUCAUAGGGAAAUGCUUAUUGCUCUAGUUUCUGAUUAGGAGAUUGUCAAGGCUCUUAAAGGUAUUGGUGAUCUGAAGUCUCCAGGGUUGGAUGGGUAUGGGGAUUACUUAUUUAAGAAAGAUUGGCAAGUAGUGAAGACUGAUAUGAUAAAUGGUGUCCAAGACUAUUUUAUUAAUGGUAGAAUCUACAAAGCUUUUAACUGCACCUUGGUGAACAUCAUCCCUAAGAGUAUGGAGGCAAAAAUUAUUAGGGAUUAUAGACCUAUUUCCUGUUGUAUCACCAUCUAUAAGAUUAUCUCCAAAGUUCUAACUUCUAGAAUGAGUAAUAUUUUGGAGAGUAUUGUUGAUAAGAACCAGGCUGCAUUUGUCCCAUGCUAAGAUAUUCACAACCAUAUCCUUUUGUCUUAUGAGCUUAUUAAGGGCUACACUAGGAAGGGAGGUACUCCUAGAUGUAUGAUGCAGGUGGCCAUUCAAAAAACCUAUGAUUAGUUGAUUGGAAUGUUAUGGAGUGUAUUCUUAAUGAUAUUAGGUUCCUUAGACUGUUCACUAAUUAGAUUAUGCUUGUUGUUUCUUCUGUCUCUUACAAGUUCAAUGUCAAUGGAGAUUACUUAGGCAUUAUGCUGGCUAAAAGAGGGUUGAGGUAGGGUGAUCCCAUCUCACCUUUGCUCUUUAUCAUUGUCAUCGAUUACUUGAACAUAAUUUUACAUAAAAUGCAGAGGAACAACAACUUCAAUUUCCAUGCCAAAUGUGAAAAACUAGGCCUUGCCAACCUUUGCUUUGUUGAUGACCUACUGUUGUUUUCUAGAGGGGGCAUUAUGUCAGUUGAAAUUAUGAUGAAGUCUUUCAAGAGCUUUUCUAACUGUACUGGACUCAGAUCCAACCCUAUAAAAUGCCACGUCUAUUUUGGUGGGGUGGAGCACAACACUAGAGAUAACAUUAUGCAUAUUAGAUCCUUUAAAGAAUGAGUCUUUCCCUUCUUGUAUUUGGGUGUGCCUAUGACAGGUAAGAAACUCACACUUCAUCACUAUAUGAAUCUUAAUGAUAGAAUAUUAGGGAGAAUAACACAUUGGAGUGCUAGCUUGUUGAAUUAUGCUAGAAGAAUUCAACUCCUGAAAAGUGUCACCUUUGAUGUUAUGAACUAUUGGAUGCAGUGUUUCCCUUUCCCCAAGUUUGUGAUUCAUAAAAUAGAUGCAAUUUUUAGAACUUUCAUGUGGACAGGUGGUACUGAAUUGAGUAGGAAAUCCCAUAUUGCAUGGAAGUCUGUAUGCAAACCUAAAAGUCAAGGUGGCCUGAACAUGAUUAAUCUCGAAGUUUGGAAUAAAACUAACUUGGUGAGGCUUUUAUGGAAUCUUAAUGGUAAGUCCGAUAGCCUUUGGGUUAAAUGGGCCCAUACGUACCUAUUGCCUGAAACAACAACAUUUGAUGGAUGUCGGAGUGAGGAACAACUCCUCUUAGAUUAUUAAAUCCAUCCUGAAUCAAAGAGACAACAUCCACCACUUGCAGGCUUGGAUUGAGUUGCAGCAAACCUAUAAGUUCAGCAUGAAGAAAAUGUAUAAAGCCCUCCUUGAUGACACUCAAAAUGUUUAUUGGAGAUCUUUAUUUUAUGGGAAUAUGACGCGCCCUAGAGCUCUUUUCACCAUUUGGCUUGCUUUCCAUGAAAGGCUUGCAACAAAGGGCAGACUGUCUAGGUUUGGCAUGACUGAUAGUAUCAAUUGUUAUUUUUGUAAUGCAACAGAAACCCAACACAAUCUUCUCUUUGUUUAUCCUUAAAAGAAGGUCACAUGGGAGAAGAUUCUUGACCGGGUUCAAAUGCAGCAUACUCCUGCUGAUUGGAGGAACAAGAUUAGUUGGAUUAUCCGACGUAGCAAAGGCAAAGGAUAUAAAGUUGCCACUCUAAAACUUGCAGCAACAAAAACUAUCUAUGCAGUUUGGCGCUACAGGAAUGAUAAAUUUUUUGGUAAUGAUGUGAGUAAUACUAAUAGAGUAGACAUCAUCAUCUAUACGAUUGUGGUUGUUUCUUGAUAUUUGUCAUGGUUAAUUUGUAGGCGGGAUUUAUGCAAUCACCUUGUACAUAUCAUUUUUGAAUUAAUCCAAGUCUUGAUUAAAAAAAUGUAAUAAAACAUUUUAUUAUUUUCUUUACUAAAUUUGAUAACAAUAAAAACCAUAAGAUAUUUAAAAAAAAACUUAAAAAUAGGCCGUUGAGAAUUGAUGAUACAAAAAGUUAAUUCAAGUUGUUGUUGUUAGUGGUGGUCGUGUUGUUGUUGUUGCUGUUGUUAUUGUUGUUGCUGUUGCUAUUGUUGUUACUAUUGUUGCUAUUGAUGUUGUUGUUAUUAUUAUUAUUAUUAUUAUUAUUAUUAUUAUUAUUAUUAUUAUUUAUAAUAAUAUUAUUAUCAAUGAAAUUUAAAAUGAUUUUGUAUUAUUAAAAACACAAAUAACAUAUAUGUUGUAGCAAUUUAGUCUUUAAGUUCACCAUUUAGUAUAUUUGAGAUAGUAUUCUUAUAAAAGUACAUUAUGUUAAUAUUUUUUUAAGGAUAACUGCGUCUAUAAACAUACUUAUAUUAUUAAAAUGAAUUCAAAGUGCCUACACAAUAGUUUCAUGUUAUUGUUAGCCUCACAAUUGUUAAUUUAUUAUCUAUUAUAAAAUAUUAAUUCUUAAUUAUGAUAUAGUUUAUUGAUAACUUAUAUGUUUCAUGCUAUAUCAAUUUAUAAAAUCUGAUGUGAUAUUAUUUAAAAAAAUUUAAUUUAUAAAAUCUGAUGUGGUACUAUUCAAAAAAAAUUAAUAUUUAUAUUUUUAAUAUCUAUCUUAACAUAAUAUGUAACAUUUUAUUUAUAAUUAUUUUUCAAAACACAAUUAUUUAUAUUCUACCUAUCAUUUUUCUAAAUUAUAAACUCAAUACAAAAUAAAUAGCAUAAAUGGUUAUAUAGAAUAUGUAACAUUCCAUUUAAAAAAUAAUUAUAAAUGAAACGUUCCAUAUUAUGUUAAGAUAGAUAUUAAAAUUUUUAUUUUACAACAACAUUAUAAUUAUAUAAAUACUCAAAUCAUAAUCCAAUCCAUAAAAAUUCAUUCAACCAUCAUUCUCACUAUUUUUUUAAAUUAUAAAUUCAAUACAAAAUAAAUAGCAUGGAAAAUUAUAUAGAACGUGAGUGGUUUGAACGUGGAACAUCUUUAUCCACAAAAUAAUAAAGAAUAAACAUUCUUAGAGAUAUUGAAGUUCUUUUACACUUAUUUACAUUUUAAAAUAAAUUUCUAAUGUUUUAUUUGCAUUUCUACUAUUCAAACAUAUUUUCUUACACUUAAAGUUUUACUCUCUCUUUUUAUCAUCUUCAACUUAUAUCUUUUUUACAAAAAAUUUAAUAAUAAAUAAGAUCACAAAUUUAUUAAUAAUAUAUAAAAUUAAAAUUUAUAUUUUAUAAUAUUAUUUUAAAAAAUUAUCUCAACUCCAGCCCAUCGCGCAAGUCUCAUUCAUUCUAGUUAUUUUAUUAUUAGUGUAACAUCAAAGACGUGUAAAAUACAAUCAUUGUUAUAUAUGGCAAAACCUUAUGUCUACAAAUAUGCAUUUCAUCAGAAAAAUGUCUACACGUAUGUAAGCUGAACCAAAAGUUAAUAAUAUAAUAGAGGAUAAUUAAGUCUAUAAACAUAGUUAAAUUAAUAAAAUUGAAUUAAAAUACCAAUAUAAAUAGAUCUAUGUAGCUUCAUGCUUCUUCACAAGCCAAACAAAGAAAGAGAGAGAGAGAAAGUAAGAAAGAGAAAAAGAGUUAGAAUGGAGUUGAUGAAUAAGAAGGCAAUGAUGAAGUUAGCUCUAAUGGUUUUCCUCUUGAGCUUCGCCGCAAAUGUUGUUAACGCUCGUUUCGAUUCAACUUCCUUCAUAACUCAAGUGCUCUCCAAGUCUUAGUUUAAGUUAUUACAGAGUAUUUAAUAUACACAUAAAUAUAGAAGUUUAUUAUAUAUAUAUAUAUAUAUACUUUAGUUAUUUCAAGAAGGACAAGACAAUAUUAGCAGAGAAAGUUAUAAAUGAAGUCCACACUAUUAAUACGUAGUCGCUAAUCUUCCACCUGUCCUCUCUUAAUCUUAAAUGAUAGAGAUAAAUAAAGUUCGAUUCACGAUAAAGAUGGUAUUUUAAUAAUGGUCUUUACUUGGUGGAGCUUACUAAUUCUUCCUCCCUCUUUUACCUGUUUAAAAUUUGACCAUUUUCCUUCAUCCGUUAGUUGAACUUUUUUGAAGGUAGUGAUUUUUCCUUUGCAAUUUUUUGCAAGAAAGGUUUUCUUUUAGAGAAAAUAUAUUUAAGUGGAGGGUGAUUGUCGAUCCAGUUGGAGUCUCUUGUCUUUUGUCUGGGAGAAAAUAAUAAAAAAUUGAAUUUGGAAUAUUUCAGUACAAUUCUUUAUAUCUAUUCCGAUGUAAUUUGGAAUGUUAAUAAAUUCUCUUUCUCUCCGAGCAUAUUUUUAUAUAUAUAUAUAUAUAUAUAUAUAUAUAUAUAUUCAACUAUACAUGCGUCAAUUGUAAUGGCGCAUACUCUUACAUUUUAUAUACAUGCGCCAUUACAAUUGCCGCAUGCUCUUACAUUUUAUAUACACGCGUCAAUUGCAAUGACGCAUGCUCUUACAUUUUAUAUGCAUGCGCCAAUUGCAGUGGCGCAUGAGUAUAAAUUGAUUAAUGCAUGCGCUAUAACAUAUGACACAUUAGUUCAUUUAAAAAAAAAUGAUUACAUUGAUAAAUACUUUAAAAUUAUGACUAUUUUCGUAUUAUUUUUGAAAAUAAUAAUUAUUUAAAAUAAAAUCCGAAGUUAUCAUAUAUUCUCUUUAUAUAGUGUUUGCUUUAAUAAUCAAAAGUUAUAUAAAUAAUGUAUUUUUUUUAUUUUACUAUCUUUUAUUCUUUCUACGUCUUCUUUAAUCUGCCGUCCUUACUAUAUUCUUAAUUUCAUUCUUUAUUUUUUUCUUUUUCAGGUAGGGAUGUUCGCGGUGCGGUUUGCGCGGGUUUUGCGAUAAAAAUCACCCGAACCGCAAGAGAAAAAACAUGCGGUUCGGUUUGGUUCGAAUGAAUUUUAGAAAUAAAACCAAACCAAACCAAACCAAAUUAAUGCGGUUUGGGUUGGUUCAGUUGAUUCGGUUUUUUAUAAUAUUUUUAUUGAGCCAUAUAUACUCCUAUAAAUAACGACAUAACUUUGUGUUUAGUCAUUCAUAUAUUACUAAAUAACAUCAAAAUUCAUCAUAUUUAGACAAAAACGUUU
rnacentral:lncRNA from 1 species